CCGUUGCCGGCGACCGGCGCACGGGUGAGUAACACGUAUGCAACCUGCCCGUGGCAGGGGGAUAAGCGGGGGAAACCCCGUCUAAUACCGCGUAACGCGGCCUAGGGACAUCCCAAGGCCGCCAAAGGGAGCAAUCCCGGCCACGGAUGGGCAUGCGGCGCAUUAGCUAGUCGGCGGGUAACGGCCCACCGAGGCGACGAUGCGUAGGGGUUCUGAGAGGAAGGCCCCCCACACUGGUACUGAGACACGGACCAGACUCCUACGGGAGGCAGCAG
rnacentral:rRNA from 1 species